rnacentral:rRNA from 1 species
GGGGAAUAUUGCACAAUGGGCGGAAGCCUGAUGCAGCAACGCCGCGUGCGGGAUGACGGCCUUCGGGUUGUAAACCGCUUUCGCCUGUGACGAAGCGUGAGUGACGGUAAUGGGUAAAGAAGCACCGGCUAACUACGUGCCAGCAGCCGCGGUGAUACGUAGGGUGCGAGCGUUGUCCGGAUUUAUUGGGCGUAAAGGGCUCGUAGGUGGUUGAUCGCGUCGGAAGUGUAAUCUUGGGGCUUAACCCUGAGCGUGCUUUCGAUACGGGUUGACUUGAGGAAGGUAGGGGAGAAUGGAAUUCCUGGUGGAGCGGUGGAAUGCGCAGAUAUCAGGAGGAACACCAGUGGCGAAGGCGGUUCUCUGGGCCUUUCCUGACGCUGAGGAGCGAAAGCGUGGGGAGCGAACAGGCUUAGAUACCCUGGUAGUCCACGCUGUAAACGGUGGGUACUAGGUGUGGGGUCCAUUCCACGGGUUCCGCGCCGUAGCUAACGCUUUAAGUACCCCGCCUGGGGAGUACGGCCGCAAGGCUAAAACUCAAAGGAAUUGACGGGGCCCCGCACAAGCGGCGGAGCAUGCGGAUUAAUUCGAUGCAACGCGUAGAACCUUACCUGGGUUUGACAUGGAUCGGGAGUGCUCAGAGAUGGGUGUGCCUCUUUUGGGGUCGGUUCACAGGUGGUGCAUGGCUGUCGUCAGCUCGUGUCGUGAGAUGUUGGGUUAAGUCCCGCAACGAGCGCAACCCUUGUUCACUGUUGCCAGCACGUUAUGGUGGGGACUCAGUGGAGACCGCCGGGGUCAACUCGGAGGAAGGUGGGGAUGACGUCAAGUCAUCAUGCCCCUUAUGUCCAGGGCUUCACGCAUGCUACAAUGGCUGGUACAGAGAGUGGCGAGCCUGUGAGGGUGAGCGAAUCUCGGAAAGCCGGUCUCAGUUCGGAUUGGGGUCUGCAACUCGACCUCAUGAAGUCGGAGUCGCUAGUAAUCGCAGAUCAGCAACGCUGCGGUGAAUACGUUCCCGGGGCUUGUACACACCGCCCGUCAAGUCAUGAAAGUUGGUAACAC